rnacentral:rRNA from 1 species
UCGGGAAUUUUGGGCAAUGGGCGAAAGCCUGACCCAGCAACGCCGCGUGAAGGAUGAAGUAUUUCGGUAUGUAAACUUCGAAAGAAUAGGAAGAAUAAAUGACGGUACUAUUUGUAAGGUCCGGCUAACUACGUGCCAGCAGCCGCGGUAAUACGUAGGGACCAAGCGUUGUUCGGAUUUACUGGGCGUAAAGGGCGCGUAGGCGGUUUGUCAAGUCAGUUGUGAAAUCUCCGAGCUUAACUCGGAACGGUCAACUGAUACUGUCAAACUAGAGUACAGAAGGGGCAAUCGGAAUUCUUGGUGUAGCGGUGAAAUGCGUAGAUAUCGGGAGGAACACCUGUGGCGAAGGCGGCCACCUGGUUGGAUACUGGCGCUGAGACGCGAAAGCGUGGGGAGCAAACAGGAUUAGAUACCCCCGUAGUCCCUGAGCGGGCUGGCAAGGCGCAU